AACGGGACCAUGGAAGUUGUGGA
rnacentral:siRNA from 1 species